UCCCACCCAAAAACCAAAUUUCUCAUCUCUUUCUGCCUGAUUGUUGACUAUUUUCAUAAUUGAUUUUUCUCCCGAGGGUCAUCAGCUUUGCUUUAGAUUGAAAAUAGCCAUUUUAACUGCAAAGUUAUAUCUUAUAUUUCUCAUCCCUUUUAAGUCACUCCAAUUCAACUUAUAACUAAAACUGCAAAAUGUGAAGAUUGAUGGAAAAUCUCGAGGAUAG
rnacentral:misc_RNA from 1 species